rnacentral:rRNA from 1 species
AGUAAUACAUCGGAACGUGCCCAGUUGUGGGGGAUAGCCCGGCGAAAGCCGGAUUAAUACCGCAUACGACCUGUGGGUGAAAGCGGGGGAUCGCAAGACCUCGCGCUAUUGGAGCGGCCGAUGUCGGAUUAGCUUGUUGGUGAGGUAAGAGCUCACCAAGGCGACGAUCCGUAGCUGGUCUGAGAGGACGACCAGCCACACUGGGACUGAGACACGGCCCAG